GUGCCAGCCGCCGCGGUAAUACGGGCAGCCCGAGUGAUGGCCGAUCUUAUUGGGCCUAAAGCGUCCGUAGCUGGCCGCGCUAGUCCAUCGGGAAAUCCACCCGCCCAACGGGUGGCCGUCCGGUGGAAACUACACGGCUUGGGACCAGAAGGCUCGAAGGGUACGUUCGGGGUAGGAGUGAAAUCCUAUAAUCCCGCACGGACCACCGAUGGCGAAAGCACUUCGAGAAAACGGAUCCGACAGUGAGGGACGAAAGCCAGGGUCUCCAACCGGAUUAGAUACCCCAGUAGUCC
rnacentral:rRNA from 1 species